rnacentral:rRNA from 1 species
GCAAGUCGAGCGGUAGAGAGAAGCUUGCUUCUCUUGAGAGCGGCGGACGGGUGAGUAAUGCCUAGGAAUCUGCCUGGUAGUGGGGGAUAACGUUCGGAAACGGACGCUAAUACCGCAUACGUCCUACGGGAGAAAGCAGGGGACCUUCGGGCCUUGCGCUAUCAGAUGAGCCUAGGUCGGAUUAGCUAGUUGGUGAGGUAAUGGCUCACCAAGGCGACGAUCCGUAACUGGUCUGAGAGGAUGAUCAGUCACACUGGAACUGAGACACGGUCCAGACUCCUACGGGAGGCAGCAGUGGGGAAUAUUGGACAAUGGGCGAAAGCCUGAUCCAGCCAUGCCGCGUGUGUGAAGAAGGUCUUCGGAUUGUAAAGCACUUUAAGUUGGGAGGAAGGGUUGUAGAUUAAUACUCUGCAAUUUUGACGUUACCGACAGAAUAAGCACCGGCUAACUCUGUGCCAGCAGCCGCGGUAAUACAGAGGGUGCAAGCGUUAAUCGGAAUUACUGGGCGUAAAGCGCGCGUAGGUGGUUUGUUAAGUUGGAUGUGAAAUCCCCGGGCUCAACCUGGGAACUGCAUUCAAAACUGACUGACUAGAGUAUGGUAGAGGGUGGUGGAAUUUCCUGUGUAGCGGUGAAAUGCGUAGAUAUAGGAAGGAACACCAGUGGCGAAGGCGACCACCUGGACC